GACGUAGGGUGCAAGCGUUGUCCGGAUUUACUGGGCGUAAAGAGCGCGUAGGCGGUCUGUUAAGUGAGAAGUGAAAUCUCCAGGGCUCAACCCGGAAACUGCUUUUCAUACUGGCAGACUUGAGGGAUGCAGAGGUAUGUGGAAUUCCUGGUGUAGCGGUGAAAUGCAUUGAUAUCAGGAGGAACACCCAUGGCGAAGGCAGCAUACUGGGCAUCAUCUGACGCUGAGGCGCGAAAGCGUGGGUAGCAAACAGG
rnacentral:rRNA from 1 species